CGUGGAGGGAUCCUAGAAAACCAUCUCACACCCGGAGAAGGGCUGGAUGGGGGGGAAUUAUGGCUGGAGAAAUAACUCUUGGGACUGAUUUAGAUUAAACUAGCAGAUUCCCCAGGCUGAACCCCUCCGCUGGGCUGAAUUUAGCAGCAGAAGAGAUAACCGGGAGAUAAGGACUGAUACCCAGGAGGACAGCGGGAGACCGGCAGGCAGCCGAGGAAGGGGGGAGAAGCCAGAGGCAGCGUUGGGAAGGGCUGCGUAUCCAGAUGUGCUGGGUUUCGGACACGCAUCUCCUUCUCCACGCCUUGCAAAAUCCCUGGCGAUUUUCUCUACCAAAGCAGCGCUUUGCUGAAGCUUCGUCGAAUUCCUACUGAAUAUCAGCGCUUUCCUUAAAAAAAGAAAGCAAAAACCCCAUUAAAACCGAUUAAAACCGCCCGAGCAGCUCUACCAGGAGCAGAGAUGAUUUCAAGGACCUGCCUUUGGCUUUGCCUCUUCCAGGAAAAAACACACACACACACAAAAAAAACCCCCCGUGGUCGGUUUUGCGUGUGCGUGGCCGGAUCCAGCCUCUUUCCCCGGGGAAAUCUCGGUCCUUGGUCCUUGUGCCCAGCAUCGCGUCGCGGGGGGUGCGCACCCCGAAAAAGCAAUGAUGCCGUGAGGAGCUGAGCCGAGCCCCAGCCUGGUAUAAACUACCCAGCCGGGAGGGAGAGGAUGGAUUUCGGACACUUUUUUAUCCCGAAAAAAAGCAGAGGAUGGGACACAGAAGAGUGCGGUGACAAUGAAAAAAAAAAAUCUCUGCUCUGCACUCGGAGGAGCUUUUUUUCCCUGCGAUUACAGAGUGCUCUCGCCCGCAAAGCGAAGCGCUUAACGAAACCUGGCUGAAAAUAACCCUGCGGAACAAACCUCGGCCUUUCUACUUUCCUUUCCAGCCCCCUCUUCUCCUCCAGGGAGGAAAUAAAUCGAUACGAUGCCGG